rnacentral:rRNA from 1 species
GACGUAGGGCGCGAGCGUUGUCCGGAUUUAUUGGGCGUAAAGAGCUCGUAGGCGGUUUGAUAAGUCGGGUGUGAAACCUCCAGGCUCAACCUGGAGCCGCCACUCGAUACUGUCAUGACUUGAGUCUGGUAGGGGACCACGGAAUUCCUGGUGUAGCGGUGGAAUGCGCAGAUAUCAGGAGGAACACCAAUAGCGAAGGCAGCUCGCUGGGACGUUACUGACACUGAGGCGCGAAAGCGUGGGGAGCGAACAGG